GUUAGAAUAGAUUCAUUGAAAAAAGGGGCUUGAAGCUCAAUACAUUAAUUGGCUAUACCAACAUUAUGUGAAGAUUUUUAGAAUAGGAUUUAGAAACCCAAAAUAAAGUAGGUCCAUGGCCAGAACAAGAAGUCUAACUACCCAAAAAAUAUCCUAGCCCAAACAAAUCGGCUCCUAAUUGAGACAAUUUGUCCACUCGAACCCUAAUUUGGAAGACCAAAGAGUAGUAUUGUCGUUGGGAAUGAAGCCUCACAUCCGGAAGGGAAAUGGAGCCAAUUGAAGAAUGCUAGAGUUGAAGAUGGCUGAAAUGCCUACAGCAAAACCCCAAUAAAAAUUAUACCAAAGAAUUCGAGUGGCAACAACCAAUCAUUAUCUGAAUUAGUUGAAACACAAGGCCAUGGAAGCCGGAACCUCUGAGACUCUGGAGAAAGAAUAGAAAAGGAAUUGAUAAAGUGCAAGACUUCUCAACCUCUUAUAGCCAGAAAGGGUAGCUGAUGGAGGGGGCUAACAUUCACACCCUCAUGAUGCUAUCUUCCUUCCAACUUAGCAAAUUGAAGCCAUCUCUAAAGUCAAGAUCUACACCCACACAUAAGAAGCACACCCAACACAGAAGAAACACAUGUAGAUUUAAAUAAUGCUCUUUUAAUUUCGCACAGAUCUGGAGGUAAAACACCAUCAAAAACUAUAUACAAACCAACCAAUAAAAGGGAAGGGCAAACCCACGCACAUCAGGCCGGGGAAGAUCCUUCCCCUGCUCAGAGGGAUAGGAAAAAGCUGCAACAACUUGGCAGAAGGAGAGCUAUGCCUUUAGAAUGGAAGAAAACAAAGAGACGUGUAGUAUCACUUGAACUUAUUUAAUAUGAAUAUAUAUAUAUAUAUUUCCUUUACAAAGAAAUAUGCAAUUAUGAAAAAAA
rnacentral:misc_RNA from 1 species